rnacentral:rRNA from 1 species
GACGAACGCUGGCGGCGUGCUUAACACAUGCAAGUCGAACGGAAAGGCCCUGCUUUUGUGGGGUGCUCGAGUGGCGAACGGGUGAGUAACACGUGAGUAACCUGCCCUUGACUUUGGGAUAACUUCAGGAAACUGGGGCUAAUACCGGAUAGGAGCUCCUGCUGCAUGGUGGGGGUUGGAAAGUUUCGGCGGUUGGGGAUGGACUCGCGGCUUAUCAGCUUGUUGGUGGGGUAGUGGCUUACCAGGGCUUUGACGGGUAGCCGGCCUGAGAGGGUGACCGGCCACAUUGGGACUGAGAUACGGCCCAGACUCCUACGGGAGGCAGCAGUGGGGAAUAUUGCACAAUGGGCGGAAGCCUGAUGCAGCAACGCCGCGUGCGUGAUGACGGCCUUCGGGUUGUAAACCGCUUUCGCCUGUGACGAAGCGUGAGUGACGGUAAUUGGUAAAGAAGCACCGGCUAACUACGUG